ACAAGAGUACUCAUUGGACACGUGCCGAAAACAAAACGUACAAAUAUAAGUUGUCAUCCAUCAACAGUAUCACACGGGGGUUUUUCUUAAAAGGCCCAAGCAUACUAAAUUCUUUUGUGAUCUUAAAAGUCCGACUGCACUCUAAGUUCUUGGUGUAUCCUACCAUGUCUGAGAAUCUAGUGUGCCGUGAAGGUGGCCACCUUCAACAAGCACCCUCGCCGGCCAACCUCUCUAGGAUGGCUCACAGCUCUUAUGCACCAUAUUCCGAACAGGAUUUUCUGUCCCACUGGGAACCGAAUUCGUCACUAAAUUUUUGGCAUCGCCAAACUCUCGGCCUAUAGUGCUGGAUAUUAAAAGAAAGCCCACCAGCCCACCAUCCCACCUGGUAUGCUUAUCUUCAAUUAAAUUCCUCGUUUCGCCUCGCUUGCCCUUGAAUAAUCUCUCCUUUAGAAAUAAAUAGCGUAACACGCUAAUUAGUACUUGAACUAUUUUUCUGAAAAAGAAUGCAUGCACCCUAUAGGAUAGCAUCUAUCUCUUAAUCUCGGCUUAUAGGAUUUUCCUUAAAUCCUAACUCGGAUUUACUGUACGGCAGUACUUAAUUAUUCCGCUUAUUUGGAGAAAUUCUAUUUUCUCUUAAAUAAUUAAUAAAAUAUGGAUUCUUAAAAUCCCUUCUUAAAUUCCUUCUUCUUCGGAUUUUUCUUAAGGCCGCCCAUGGCGUCGCGGGGCGACGCCGGUCGGCCCAAAUAAAUUCAUCAAGCUCCAACUCAACAUUUUCCAUUCUUGGAAACUUAGAAGUUUAUUCAUGAAUUAAUUCAUCAAGCUCCAACUCGAUUCUUAAAUUAAUCUCAUCCAAAAUAAAUUCUCAAGCCCAACAAUUCAUUUCAUAAGGUGGCCCGAUCAACUAAUUAGUAUAGUCCUUACACACAAAUAAUCGGCCCAAAUUACACCCCCUUUUAAUUCAUUUCUUUUUGGAAAUUCUUAAAAGGCAUUACUUGGCCCAACUAACAUUUAAAUUUCGCAGUUUCACUUCUCAACAAAUUAAAUGGCCCUCUGCCAAUUAAUUAGUAGUCCACUUUGGAAAUUACAAAAUAAUCCAUUAUACUUAAUUAGUUAAAAGGCCCAUCGACAAAACAAAAUGGGCACUAGCCCAAUUCUUUCCUCAUGCCAUCGGUACUUCUUCCCCAAUCACAUUUCCUCUCAAACUGCAAUUCUCUAAAUUUAGGAACCAGCGGCGCCUUCUUCUCCGGCCAAAUCGCCGUCCACUCAGUUUACCGGGGUCCGCCGGAUUCGCCCCUUCUGAUUUCAAACCUUGCAAAUCCCUAAUUUAGGAAGAAGCAGCGGCGUCUCCUCCUCGUUCCACUUCGUUCCUCUCUGUCCCUCACGGCUCCUUGCCGUUCACUCCUCCGUCCAGCCAUCUCAUUCCGGCGAAGCUCCGAGGCCCGCCGUCGUACCCACAUUGCCAGUCUCGGCGAGCAGGGCUGCUGCCUCCGUCGCUUGCUCGACGCCGAACAGCCCGUCGCCUAAGCUAAGUCCUCCUUUCCCCUACCCCUUUUUAAGCUUGGUCUUUCAAAACUUUAUAUUCUUGGGCAGUAGCUUAUUUGAUGAGGAAGAUUUGAUGCUUUAAUUUGAAUAUAAAAUUUACAGUGUGAUUUGUGUCCUUUCUCAAUUGUUUGGGUUCAUACUGUUAAUUCUAGCAGCAGGUAUUGCUAUGUUCUAACUUGAUUCUUGAGCAUCUAUGGUUCUAAGUUCUCAUGCUCUCUAUGAUUCUAAGUUCUGGAAUCGAUCAUGUGGCUGUACGAAGCUUCCUAUAUGAUGCGUGGUUUGUGUUGGGAGAUUACCUUGAUUGGUGAAUCCUUGUUGUGUUCUUGCUGCCAAUUCCUCUCCUUGCUCCUCCCCUUCUGCUCUCCUCUUAUGAUACAAUGUGAAACUUGUGGUGACCGAAAAGUGGGGGAGAAGAUGAGGGUUGUGGCUCCUUAUAUAGCUCUCAACUGUUGGCAGCUUGUGCCUGAAAACUUGGGGGCAAAGUCUCCUAUUUUUGGCUGCCAGCUUGCUCCCUUUUGAGCUUUGUAAGUAGGCUAUCUAUGCCUUUUUGGUGUAACUUCUGGGCUGUUUCUAUGGCUGCCUUUCAGCCUUGGAUUUGGCUGAUCUCUUGGCUGUGUAUGUGCAUAUGUUCCUGCAGGAUCUUUCCCUUUCGGGGCUUACUAUGAGCUCAUGUUCUAUUCCCUAUUUGUCUCCACCCCCUUGUUGGGAGAUUUGGCAUAUCUUGGUCUUUUGUCCAUUCUUUGGACUUGGCAGAGUGAUGACAUUUACAUGGAUGCUCUUGGAGCUUUGUAGGUUGCAGAAGCAAGGGAAGGAGGGAAGAUGAUCCUGGCAAAUCUUGUGGCCUUUUCUUGGAAACACCUAGUAGUGGGCUUAGAGUAGUAGCUAUACUUUCCAAUUUCAUGUAAUAGUAAGUCAUACUUGAUGUACUCCUUGUAUGCAGUGUUGGCAGGAAAAGUAGGCGUGUAGUUCUAGUGACUAUAAGGGUGUCCACUAUAGGGGGCGGACAGCCCCCUCCCACCGCCGCCCCCCUUCUCGAACCGCCGCGCCGCCGCGUCAGCCGCGGCUACUGCAAUAGACAGCCGCGGCUAUAGCCCCACUCCUUCUCUCUCUGCCACCCUCAGCCGCGUCCUCGCCCCGCACGCGGCUAUCCCGCGUCCGCCGCCUCUCUCCCCCCUCGCCGCGUCCGCCUCCGGGGCGGACAACUCCGCCACUAUAAGGCGCCCCGCUUCCGCCCCGCUUCCGCCCCAAACGCGGCGUCCGCCGCGUCCACAUUAUAGUGGACGCUCUAAGAAUGUAAUUCCAUCUUCAUUCCCAUGCAAGUGUACGAAAUCUCCCAAGUAGGUAUCCAAUAUUUCUUGUAUAUGCAACAUCAUUGUGUAGUCUCUUUCAAUCUAUCCGCCCAAGAUAUGCAAAAAUCCUCUUCAGAAGUAUUGUACUAAUUUAUUCUCUUUUCCUUUGCAUCAAUAAUUUCUUAUUCCUUA